UACGUAAGGUGCAAGCGUUGUCCGGAAUUAUUGGGCGUAAAGAGCUCGUAGGCGGUCUGUCGCGUCGGCUGUGAAAACCCGGGGCUCAACCCCGGGCCUGCAGUCGAUACGGGCAGACUAGAGUGCAGUAGGGGAGACUGGAAUUCCUGGUGUAGCGGUGAAAUGCGCAGAUAUCGGGAGGAACACCAAUAGCGAAGGCAGCUCGCUGGGACGUUACUGACACUGGGGCGCGAAAGCGUGGGGAGCGAACAGG
rnacentral:rRNA from 1 species